CUCUCUCUCUCUGUCUGUCUGUCUCUCUCUCUCUCUCUGUCUCUCUCUCUGUCCCUCUUCCUCUCUCUGUCUCUCUCUGUGUGUAUGUGUGUGUGUGUGUGUGUGUGUGUGUGUGUGUAGUCGCUGUUCGCUAGACCGGUGUGUGUGUUUUUUUCUAAUCCGUGAAACCAGCUUCACUACGCAUGCCUUUAGAGCUAGCUAACCCCCCCCCAUUCAGUUACCAAUGGACUACUUGACGGUUGUUAACCAUGGUAACACUUUACCUAACUACUGAGGGUCAGGGUGGGUUUGACGUCACUGCACAACUAACUAGUACCUAUAUCUAUAUUAUACUGUGUAUAUCUACUGAUGUAUGUGGCCUGUUGGUGUACUGUACCUGUAUAUAUAAGUGGUCCCCCCCCGUAUACCUCUGGUCUAAAGUAGUGUACUACAGGGGGCCAUUUAGUGGUGCGACAGGUACCUGUAUAUAUCAGGGGCCCCUCGUGGUCCCCCCCUCCCCCGUAUACCUCUGGUCUAAAGUAGUGGACUAUAGAGGGUGUAGUGUACCUCUGGUCUAAAGUAGUGCACUACAGGGGGCCAUUUAGUGGGGCGGCAGGUAGCCUAGUGGUUAGAGCGUUGGACUAGUAACCGAAAGGUUGCUGGAUGGAAUCCCCGAGCUGACAAGGUUAACAGUUAACCCACUGUUUCCCGGUAGGCAGUUAACCCACUGUUUCCCGGUAGGCAGUUAACCCACUGUUCCCCCGGUAGGCAGUUAACCCACUGUUUCCCGGUAGGCAGUUAACCCACUGUUUCCCGGUAGGCAGUUAACCCACUGUUUCCCGGUAGGCAGUUAACCCACUGUUAACCCACUGUUUCCCGUAGGCAGUUAACCCACUGUUUCCCGGUAGGCAGUUAACCCACUGUUUCCCGGUAGGCAGUUAACCCACUGUUCCCCGGUAGGCAGUUAACCCACUGUUCCCCGGUAGGCAGUUAACCCACUGUUUCCCGGUAGGCAGUUAACCCACUGUUUCCCGGUAGGCAGUUAACCCACUGUUUCCCGGUAGGCAGUUAACCCACUGUUCCCGGUAGGCAGUUAACCCACUGUUUCCCGGUAGGCAGUUAACCCACUGUUUCCCGGUAGGCAGUUAAC
ensembl:lncRNA